AUGUGAUUAUAUACUGAUUCAUGGGCUAUAGCCAAUGGUUUAGCUGGAUGUUCAAAGACUUGGAACAAGCAUGAUUGGAAAAUUGGUGACAAAGAAAUGUGGAGAGGAGGUAUAUGGAUGGACCUCUCUGAGUGGUCAAAAACUGUGAAGAUAUUUGUAUCUUAUGUGAAUUUCCAUCAAUGGGUGACCUCAGCAAAGGAGAAGAUUAAUAAUCAAGUGGAUAGGAUGAAUCGUUCUGUGGACACCACUCAGCCUCUUCUCACAGCCAGCUCUGUCAUUGCCCAAUGGGUCCAUGAACAAAGUGGCCAUUGUGGCAGGGAUGGAGAUUAUGCAUGGGGUCAGCAAUCUGUACUUCCACUCACCAAGGCUGAUCUGGCUAUGACCAAUUUGCCAGGAGCAGAGACCAGCACUGAGCCCUCGAUAUGGCACCAUUCCUCAAGGUAAUCAGCCAACUAACUGGUGGCAGACUAAUUAUAUUGGCCCUUUUCCAUCAUGGAAAGGGCAGAGGUUUGUCCUCACUGGAAUAGACACCAACUCUGGAUAUGGGUUUGUCUAUCCUGCACACAAUGCUUCUGCCAAGACUACCAUCCUUUGACUCACAGAAAGCCUUAUCCACUGUCAUGGUAUUCCACACAGCAUUGCCUUUGACCAAGGCACUCACUUUACGGCUGAAGAAGUGUGGCUGUGGACUCAUGUUCAUAGAAUUCACUGAUCUUACCAUGUUCCCCAUCAUCCUGAAGCAGCUGGACUGAUAGAAUGGUGGAAUGGCCUUUUCAAGUCACAAUUACAGUGCCAUCUAGGUGACAAUACUUUUCAGGGCUGGGGCAAAGUUCUCCAGAAGGCCAGGAAUGCUCUAAAUCAGCAUCCAAUAUAUGGUACUUUUUCUCCCAUAGCCAGGAUUCACAGGUCCCAAAAUCAAGGGGUGGAAGUGGAAGUGACACCACUCACCAUCACCCCUAGUGAUCCACUAGCAAAAUGUUUCCUUCUUGUUCCUAUGAGGUUACAUUCUGCUGGCCUAGAGGUCUUAAUACCAGAAGAGACACAUGUUUCAAUUAAACUGGAAGUUAAGAUUGCCUCCUAGACACUUUGGGCUCCUCCUACCUUUAAGUCAACAAGCUAAGAAAGGAGUUACAGUGUUUGCUGGGGUCAUUGACCCGGACUAUCAAGAUGAAAUCAGUCUACUACUCCACAGUGGGGGUAAGGAAGAGUAUGCACAGAAUACAGGCAAUCCCUUGGGGCAUCUCUUAGUAUUACCAUGCCCUGUGAUUAAAGUCAAUGGGAAACUAUAACAGCUCAAUCGAGGCAGGACUAACAAUGGCUCAGACCGUUCAGAAAUGAAGGUUUGGGUCACUCCACCAGGAAAAACAACCAUAAUAUGCUUGAAGUCUGUAUAUAAAUACUUGCAUAGAUUCAUAAUUAAAUUAACUAAAUUUCCUCAUUUGAAAAUGUUGUAAUUCUAAGAUAAGCUAUGUUUUGCAUAUAUAUUUUAACAUAGUUCACCUAUCUCAUUUUUUUAAAUGAGAAUACAUAAAAUUACAUAAAGAAAAGAAACCACAUGAAAAAGCAAAUGCUUUCUAGGCCAAGGAAUAAGUCUAACUUUAUCCAAUAGUGAAAAUGAAAAGUUAAUUAGGUGAUUUAAAGCACUGGAAAUUUGACAGUAGCUAUUUGAAUAAAACACCCACAUCACAAUCAAAGGUGAAAUCAAAUAGGAACAUGAAGCUAUGUUCUAGAAAAACAUUACAUUAACAUUAAUAUAGAUAAAAGUGAAUUUUUAUCACCACAUUGGUUUUAACUUGUCUUUGUUUCUUUGUAAUUUGUGUCAAAAGAAAAUAAAUCUUGGGACCCAAAAAUGACUAAGCUAAAGGGAAAAGUCAAGCUGGGAACUUCUUCAGGCAAACCUGCCUCCCAUUCUAAUCAAAGUCAUCCCUCCGAGGCUCACCUGAGACAAAUACAUGUUUGAUUACUCCCUAUCCCCUAUUGUUUAUGUAUAAAUGCAGAUUCAGUGAGCCAGACUAAAUUGUGUAUUCAGUGGAAGGCUGAUCAAAGACUCAAAAGAAUCCAACCUUUUUUCUCUUAUCUACUUCUAACUUCAAAGCCCCACUUCAUGUUGUCCCACCUUACUGAACCAAACCAGUGUACAUCUUACACAUAUUGAUUGAUGUUUCAUGUCUCCCUAAAAUGUAUAAAAGCAAACUAUACCCCUGACCACCUUGGGCAUAUGUCUCAGGGCUUCCUGAGGCUGUAUCACAGGUGUAUUUUUGACCUUGGCAAAAUAAACUUUCUAAAUUGACUGAGACCUGUGUCAGAUAUUUUGCAUUCACAAUCAGUAACCACAGAGGGAUUCUGAGGGGAGGUGCCCCUGACUUUGACGAAUCUCCUAUAGGUGCUUGGUACCAGCUUGAGCUUUUUUAUGGCUCAAACCAAUAGGGCAAUUUGCUGAGGCCUGUAAGCUCCCCCUCCAGAAAAUCCCUGAUCUCCCCAAAUUUGGUUAAGAUCUAAAGCUUAUUUUGCUGUACAACUCCUCCUUUUGGAGUUUCACUUGCUUCUUACAGGGAAGGCAAGUUUUCCUGCUUCCAUGAUGUUGGAAGGAAGGGUUUCUGCUGAGAGGUUGCAUGAUAUUAUGUUUCUUUUCCAUGGGAGCCUCUAAUCACCGCUGCUACUAGUCGGCAUCUUGGCCUUGCCCCUGUUUCACCACCAGACUCUUUCUCUCUGUACAAUGGAAUCAAGCUUGACUUGAAGAUCCAAUAAAAGCCCACUGGAAAAACCAGCCUGAUGCCUUGUCUGCAGAGUUCCUGUAUAGGAUUUCUGACCUGUGAUAACUAAAGAAUGUCACUUUCUCACAAGUCCAGCAGCCCCAAGUUAUCUUGGGACCUCAAGAGGAGAGGAAUUUGCUCACCUCGUAGGUAUUUGAGGGUACAAACCCAUGGCUGGGCUCAGCUGAAAAAAGAAGUCUUAUUUGAAAGAGUUCCAUAAAAGCGGAUUUAAAAGCCUAUGUGAAAAAUAAUUAUCCUUGCUUCACUUUAUACAGAUAAUAAUGCCAAGCAUAAGAAUAGAGCUUGUUCUUUUACAAAUAAAUUGGUGCUAUUAAUAUUUUUUAAUAAGAAUAGGAGACUGAAGAGAGAGAAAUUAUAUUUCAAAACAAACUAUUACACCUAUUAUAUUCUACUCUUGCCUAAUGUUUUUCAAUUUUUAUUAUUUUCAGCAGUUUGAACUGAAUUCUAAAAUGUUUCCUGGCUACACUUCUCCAAAGUCAUGUCUCCAAAUUGUUUUCUUCUUUCUUUUCCCACUUUUUCCCCAUUUUUCCUAAUUUGAAAUAACUGUAAACUAAGCUGUGCUUUCUUAAAGCCCUGCAAAAUAAAGCUACACAACUUAAACUUUAGAAGGAAAUAACAGCAACCUAUUUACAUACAUAAGCCAAUCUCAUACACGCCUAAUGAUAUAUGAACUUCAGAGUAAUAUGGCCUAUAUUGAUUUUCCAAGAUUGUUCUUUUUUGUUUGUUGUUGUUUUUCUCCCUUCUUCCCCCCAUUUGCCCUUUGUAGGAAAUGAGACUUCACAACCUGCUAAAAAUGAGCUUUCCUCGUAAUGUGAGACCUACCUGUCUAUUAAUAAACUAUUCCAACCAUGA
rnacentral:lncRNA from 1 species